rnacentral:rRNA from 1 species
UACAGAGGGUGCGAGCGUUAAUCGGAAUUACUGGGCGUAAAGCGCGCGUAGGCGGCUUUGCAAGUCGGGUGUGAAAUCCCCAGGCUUAACCUGGGAACUGCAUUCGAGACUGCAUUGCUAGAGUAUGGGAGAGGGAAGUGGAAUUUCCGGUGUAGCGGUGAAAUGCGUAGAUAUUGGGAAGAACACCUGAGGCGAAGGCGGGUUGCUGGGCUGACACUGACGCUGAGGCGCGAAAGCCAGGGGAGCAAACGGG